GAGUUUGAUCCUGGCUCAGGAUGAACGCUGGCGGCGUGCUUAACACAUGCAAGUCGAGCGAAGCACUUAGGAAAGAUUCUUCGGAUGAUUUCCUAUUUGACUGAGCGGCGGACGGGUGAGUAACGCGUGGGUAACCUGCCCUGUACAGGGGGAUAACAGUUGGAAACGGCUGCUAAUACCGCAUAAGCGCACAGCAUCGCAUGAUGCAGUGUGAAAAACUCCGGUGGUAUAAGAUGGACCCGCGUUGGAUUAGCUAGUUGGCAGGGCAGCGGCCUACCAAGGCGACGAUCCAUAGCCGGCCUGAGAGGGUGAACGGCCACAUUGGGACUGAGACACGGCCCAGACUCCUACGGGAGGCAGCAGUGGGGAAUAUUGCACAAUGGGGGAAACCCUGAUGCAGCGACGCCGCGUGGAGGAAGAAGGUCUUCGGAUUGUAAACUCCUGUUGUUGGGGAAGAUAAUGACGGUACCCAACAAGGAAGUGACGGCUAACUACGUGCCAGCCGCCGCGGUAAUUC
rnacentral:rRNA from 1 species